AACAUAAUGAAGGUCUAUGUUACGGCCAUAGAAUCGAUGUCUGGUGCAUCUUAUGUUU
rnacentral:tRNA from 1 species